AGGACGAACGCUGGCGGCGUGCCUAACACAUGCAAGUCGAACGCGCUCCAUUCGGUAGCAAUACUGAUGAAGAGCGAGUGGCGAACGGGUGAGUAACACAUGAGCAACCUGCCCCGAAGACCGGGACAACACCGGGAAACCGGUGCUAAUACCGGAUAUCCCUAUCGGACCGCAUGAUCUGAUAAGGAAAUGGAUUCCGCUUCGGGAGGGGCUCGUGGCCUAUCAGCUAGUUGGUGAGGUAACGGCUCACCAAGGCAUCGACGGGUAGCUGGUCUGAGAGGACGAUCAGCCACACUGGGACUGAGACACGGCCCAGACUCCUACGGGAGGCAGCAGUGGGGAAUAUUGGACAAUGGGGGCAACCCUGAUCCAGCAAUGCCGCGUGAGUGAUGAAGGCCUUAGGGUUGUAAGCUCUUUCGCCGCGACGAUGAUGACGGUAGCGGGAGAAGAACGCCCGGCUAACGUUCGUGCCAGCAGCCG
rnacentral:rRNA from 1 species